rnacentral:rRNA from 1 species
AGUGAACGCUGGCGGUAGGCCUAACACAUGCAAGUCGAACGGCAGCACAGUAAGAGCUUGCUCUUACGGGUGGCGAGUGGCGGACGGGUGAGGAAUACAUCGGAAUCUACUUUUUCGUGGGGGAUAACGUAGGGAAACUUAUGCUAAUACCGCAUACGACCUACGGGUGAAAGCAGGGGAUCUUCGGACCUUGCGCGAUUGAGUGAGCCGAUGUCGGAUUAGCUAGUUGGCGGGGUAAAGGCCCACCAAGGCGACGAUCCGUAGCUGGUCUGAGAGGAUGAUCAGCCACACUGGAACUGAGACACGGUCCAGACUCCUACGGGAGGCAGCAGUGGGGAAUAUUGGACAAUGGGCGCAAGCCUGAUCCAGCCAUACCGCGUGGGUGAAGAAGGCCUUCGGGUUGUAAAGCCCUUUUGUUGGGAAAGAAAAGCAGCAGGUUAAUACCCCGCUGUUCUGACGGUACCCAAAGAAUAAGCACCGGCUAACUUCGUG